rnacentral:rRNA from 1 species
AUUGAACGCUGGCGGCAUGCUUUACACAUGCAAGUCGAACGGUAACAGGGAGCUUGCUCCGCUGACGAGUGGCGAACGGGUGAGUAAUGCGUCGGAACGUGCCGAGUAGUGGGGGAUAACGCAUCGAAAGGUGUGCUAAUACCGCAUACGAACUGAGGUUGAAAGUGGGGGACCUUCAGGCCUCACGCUAUUCGAGCGGCCGACGUCUGAUUAGCUAGUUGGUGAGGUAAAGGCUCACCAAGGCGACGAUCAGUAGCGGGUCUGAGAGGAUGAUCCGCCACACCGGGACUGAGACACGGCCCAGACUCCUACGGGAGGCAGCAGUGGGGAAUUUUGGGCAAUGGGCGCAAGCCUGAUCCAGCCAUGCCGCGUGUGUGAAGAAGGCCUUCGGGUUGUAAAGCACUUUCAGUAGGGAGGAAGCGUUGUGUGUUAAUAGUACACAGCGUUGACGUUACCUACAGAAGAAGCACCGGCUAACUCUGUGCCAGCCGCCGCGGUAAAAC